GCUAGACUGAAGUGGUUCCCGCCACCUGACUGAUUUCCUUUCACAUGCGUGAUUGGUUUAGACUGGUGUGCUAGAGCGGACACUAGCGAGAAAGACCGGAGAGCGAGACAGGGAAUGUUCACUUUUCUUCCAAUGGUCAUAUUUUACACUAGCUAGCUAUUCCAAGACAAGUUACAUAGCUAGCUACAAUCUCCAAUCCAACUCCUAAAAUGGACGGAAAUUCAAUACGACCCCUUUCAGUGAGUUGGAUUUAUGAUAGUAAGUACUAUUCUGACAGGGCUUGUAAACAACAGUGAGACUGACAACCACAGAAGGCAGCACUGGACAGCCAUGCAGGCGAAGGAAGCAUCUUUUAUGCAGUGCUCGUGAAAUGGACAAUCAAACAUGACAGCUGUUGCUUCAUUGGAUAAUAACAUUUCCAUGCAAUCUUAUAUCUUGUGCAAUCUGUCCAUUAUUUUAAAAGAAUGUGUUGUCCUACAUGACAUUCUCUGAAGGAUGAGGAAGGGAUCCAGCAGGUUGUCCUACAGGAAAAUGGCCCUGGAAAUCUUGUGGAAUUACCUGCAGGACUCUUACCUACAGGAAAUCCAACAGGAUUUUGGUGUUGGACAAUUCCUACAGGUAGUCCUUCAGGAAAAAAUCUGGCAAGAUUUAUUUGAGGACUACAGUGCAUCCGGAAAUUAUUCAGACCCCUUUACUUUUUCCACAUCUUGCUAUAUU